rnacentral:lncRNA from 1 species
GUUCUUGAGGAGUUGGUUAUCACAGGCAAUUUGAAAGAAAACCCAAAAGCAGCUUCCCUGACAAAAGAUGCCGGUGAUCAACAUCGAGGACCUGACAGAAAAGGACAAGUUGAAGAUGGAGGUGGACCAGCUCAAGAAGGAAGUGACCCUGGAAAGAGUGAUGGUGAGUGAGUGACCUCUCCAAUUCACCGGAAAAGACAGCGUGGCAAAUACCCACACCUCCCAAUUCCGUUAGCGUAUGCUGGAACAGAUCAAUGUAUCUAAAAGUAAAUUCUUAGUGGAAAACAGAAUCAGUGCUGAAGAAAGGUUUCCAAAUGUUGUGAAGAAGUAAGAGAUUAUAUUGAAGAAAGAUCUAGAGAAGACCCUCUAGUGAAGGGGAUUCCAGAGGACAAAAAUCCCUUCAAGGAGCUCAAGGGAGGCUGUGUGAUUUCCUAGGCAGGGGUGCAGAUUUCUUAGAAUAGUUAGAAUUUUAAUGAUAAUGCAAACUGUUCUAUAAAAUUAAACUUGUAUAUGUUGUUUAAAUUGAU